GGCUCGGUGGCGCAUGGCAGCGCGUCUGCUAGUGUUGUUUAAUUUGGAGGUAGACAGUUCAUGCAGAAGAAUCUCGUUCGAUUCGGGGCCGGGCCA